GUCAAGUGAAUAAGCGCAUACGGUGGAUGCCUUGGCGGCAAGAGGCGAUGAAGGACGUGGUAAUCUGCGAUAAGCUUCGGUUAGCUGAUAAACAAGCGUUAAGCCGGAGAUUUCCGAAUGGGGGAACCCACCUCACUUGUGAGGUAUCGUUAACUGAAUACAUAGGUUAACGAGGCGAACCCGGGGAACUGAAACAUCUAAGUACCCGGAGGAAAAGAAAUCAACCGAGAUUCCCUUAGUAGCGGCGAGCGAACGGGGACCAGCCCAUGAAGCCAUUAACGUUCUAGUGGAGCAGUCUGGAAAGUCUGACCAUAGAAGGUGAUAGUCCUGUACACGAAAGGGCGUUUUUGGUGAUCUUGAGUAGGGCGGAGCACGAGAAACUCUGUCUGAAUAUGGGGGGACCAUCCUCCAAGGCUAAAUACUCCUUGCCGACCGAUAGUGAACCAGUACCGUGAGGGAAAGGCGAAAAGAACCCCGGAGAGGGGAGUGAAAUAGAUCCUGAAACCGUAUGCGUACAAGCAGUGGGAGCCUGUCUUCGGACGGGUGACUGCGUACCUUUUGUAUAAUGGGUCAGCGACUUACUUUUAGUGGCAAGCUUAACCGAAUAGGGGAGGCGUAGGGAAACCGAGUCUUAAAUGGGCGUCCAGUCGCUAGGAGUAGACCCGAAACCGGGCGAUCUAUCCAUGGCCAGGGUGAAGGUGGGGUAAUUCCUACUGGAGGCCCGAACCCACUUAUGUUGAAAAAUGAGGGGAUGAGCUGUGGAUCGGAGUGAAAGGCUAAUCAAGCUCGGAGAUAGCUGGUUCUCCUCGAAAGCUAUUUAGGUAGCGCCUCAUGUCUCACUUCCGGGGGUAGAGCACUGUUUCGGCUAGGGGGUCAUCCCGACUUACCAACCCGAUGCAAACUCCGAAUACCGGAAAGUGCAAUCAUGGGAGACACACGGCGGGUGCUAACGUCCGUCGUGGAGAGGGAAACAACCCAGACCGCCAGCUAAGGUCCCAAAAUUACAGUUAAGUGGGAAACGAUGUGGGAAGGCCCAGACAGCCAGGAGGUUGGCUUAGAAGCAGCCACCCUUUAAAGAAAGCGUAAUAGCUCACUGGUCGAGUCGGCCUGCGCGGAAGAUAUAACGGGGCUCAAACUGUAUACCGAAGCUGCGGAUGCAUACUUUCUUCGGAUGGUAUGCAUGGUAGAGGAGCGUUCUGUAAGCCGUUGAAGGUGAACUGUAAGGUUUGCUGGAGGUAUCAGAAGUGCGAAUGCUGACAUGAGUAACGAUAAUGCGGGUGAAAACCCCGCACGCCGAAAACCCAAGGUUUCCUGCGCAACGUCAAUCGGCGCAGGGUAAGUCGGCCCCUAAGGCGAGGCAGAAAUGCGUAGUCGAUGGGAAACAGGUUAAUAUUCCUGUACCUCAUAUUAUUGCGAUGGGGGGACGGAGAAGGCUAGAUCAUCCGGGCGUUGGUUGUCCCGGUUCAAGCGUGUAGGCAGGUGACUUAGGCAAAUCCGGGUCACUCUCUUUAUUGAGAAUGCUGAGGCGUGACGUCGAGCUCUCUUUUGAGCGAAGUGAUUGAUGCCCUGCUUCCAAGAAAAUCCUCUAAGCUUCAGAUAAUGUGAGACCGUACCCCAAACCAACACAGGUGGGUGGGAUGAGAAUUCUAAGGCGCUUGAGAGAACUCGGGUGAAGGAACUAGGCAAAAUGGUACCGUAACUUCGGGAGAAGGUACGCCUCCAUUACGUGAAGAGACUUGCUCUCGGAGCGGAAGGAGGUUGCAAUAAAAUGGUGGCUGCGACUGUUUACUAAAAACAUAGCACUCUGCAAACUCGAAAGAGGACGUAUAGGGUGUGACGCCUGCCCGGUGCCGGAAGGUUAAUUGAUGGGGUUAUCUUCGGAGAAGCUCUUGAUCGAAGCCCCGGUAAACGGCGGCCGUAACUAUAACGGUCCUAAGGUAGCGAAAUUCCUUGUCGGGUAAGUUCCGACCUGCACGAAUGGCGUAACGAUGGCCACACUGUCUCCACCCGAGACUCAGUGAAAUUGAAAUCGCUGUUAAGAUGCAGUGUACCCGCGGCUAGACGGAAAGACCCCGUGAACCUUUACUACAGCUUCACACUGGACUUUGAGCCUGCUUGUGUAGGAUAGGUGGGAGGCAUUGAAACCGAGACGCUAGUUUCGGUGGAGCCACCCUUGAAAUACCACCCUGGCAUGUUUGAGGUUCUAACCUAGGCCCGUUAUCCGGGUCGGGGACAGUGUGUGGUGGGUAGUUUGACUGGGGCGGUCUCCUCCUAAAGAGUAACGGAGGAGCACGAAGGUACCCUCAGCACGGUCGGAAAUCGUGCAAUGAGUGCAAAGGCAUAAGGGUGCUUGACUGCGAGAUAGACACAUCGAGCAGGUACGAAAGUAGGUCUUAGUGAUCCGGUGGUUCUGUAUGGAAGGGCCAUCGCUCAACGGAUAAAAGGUACUCCGGGGAUAACAGGCUGAUUCCUCCCAAGAGUUCACAUCGACGGGGGAGUUUGGCACCUCGAUGUCGGCUCAUCACAUCCUGGGGCUGAAGUCGGUCCCAAGGGUAUGGCUGUUCGCCAUUUAAAGUGGUACGCGAGCUGGGUUUAGAACGUCGUGAGACAGUUCGGUCCCUAUCUGCCGUGGGCGUUUGAGAUUUGAGGGAAGCUGCUCCUAGUACGAGAGGACCGGAGUGGACGAACCCCUGGUGUUCCGGUUGUCACGCCAGUGGCAUUGCCGGGUAGCUACGUUCGGAAGGGAUAACCGCUGAAAGCAUCUAAGCGGGAAGCCCCUCCCAAGAUAAGAUCUCACUGGAGCCUUGAGCUCCCUGAAGGUCCGUUGGAGACUACGACGUUGAUAGGCGGGGUGUGGAAGCGCAGUAAUGCGUGAAGCUAACCCGUACUAAUUGACCGUGAGGCUUGACC
rnacentral:rRNA from 1 species